GUGUUUGUAGAAAGGAGAGAUGGCAUUUCCCUUGACAUGGAAUUAAGCUAAAGUCAUAUUUGUAGAUUUGUUU
rnacentral:ncRNA from 1 species